GACAGAGGGUGCAAACGUUGCUCGGAAUUACUGGGCGUAAAGCGCGCGUAGGCGGCUUUGCAAGUCGGGUGUGAAAUCCCCAGGCUUAACCUGGGAACUGCAUUCGAGACUGCAUUGCUAGAGUAUGGGAGAGGGAAGUGGAAUUUCCGGUGUAGCGGUGAAAUGCGUAGAUAUCGGAAGGAACAUCAGUGGCGAAAGCGACUUCCUGGACCAAUACUGACGCUCAUGUGCGAAAGCGUGGGGAGCAAACAGG
rnacentral:rRNA from 1 species